rnacentral:lncRNA from 1 species
UUUUUUAGUUUUCAAUUUCAAGGUUCUAGCAAUAUUAAUAAUAAUAAUAAGUAUGAUUAUAGAAUUAUUAUCAUAAUAUUUUGUUCCUUGUGAGGGUAUCAUGGAUUCUUUGGAGAUGGUGGGGCAAAAUUAAAAGACAAUGGUACUUGAUGCACAAUUAAAAAAAAAAUUUGUUAAAGGAUAUCAAUGGCAGUUAUUAAGUUCUAUUUUGUAAGGUCUUGAAGAUUUUCAUAAUUAUGCGAUUCAAAAAUAUAGGAAAUCAGAUAAUGGGUGACA